AAGACCAAUGGAGAGACGCAGAUAACUUCGAUUUGGGGCUUCAUGGACUUCCCACCUGCCCUCGAGGUCUUCCACCAAUAAGGGCCUGGGAUUGCCUCCGAGAAACAAUAAGUAAAGGGAGGGGGCCCACAAACCCUCACCUCCCUGCGCGGGAACUACUUUGAGUUACGAAAAGAGACUGAUAGCCAUAAAGGUCAACUAUCUAAGGUUAACUCUGUAAUUCUACAACUAGUUCAGACCUCAAACAUAGAUCUCCUAAAAUAAGAUUUCACUACUUUGGCGAUAGCAGCAUAGAGCUUUGGAGAAGGGCAGUGAGAGUGCUUGGAAGGGGAGGCACCUCAAGAGAAGCAGAUUGGGUGUACGGGAAGACCCAGCCUUUGGGGAACCUAACCCACAUAUGAGGAAGAUCACAAUUCUUCAGGAAGCUUUUGAACAUCUCCAGAGCCUGAACAGACCCCAACACGAAGAGGCGUACCUUGCAUUCUCAACAGGAGGAAACCUAUACUUUACCACCCCAGCCGGAAGAAGAAAGAUUUCCUCCUCCUCCAGCAACAGACCAGCCAAUGAGAGACUGUCACAACCCAGCCAAUGAGAAGUCACAACACUUCAAACUCCCAGUUUACUCCAAUGGACUUUCAGUUUACAACAGCGCCUCCCAACUCUCCACCUUCCUCUGUAAAACCUUGUUCUCUAGACUUGGCUCUGGUUUUGCCACGGCUUAUUUGUUCUGACCUGCGAUUCUCUAUUGUUCCUGAGUAAACCUAAUU